rnacentral:rRNA from 1 species
UACGAAGGGGGCUAGCGUUGCUCGGAAUCACUGGGCGUAAAGCGCACGUAGGCGGACUCUUAAGUCGGUGGUGAAAUCCUGGAGCUCAACUCCAGAACUGCCUUCGAUACUGAGAGUCUCGAGUCCGGAAGAGGAGAGUGGAAUUCCUGGUGUAGCGGUGAAAUGCGCAGAUAUCAGGAAGAACACCCGUGGCGAAGGCGGCUCUCUGGGACGGUACUGACGCUGAUGCACGAAAGCGUGGGGAGCAAACAGG